rnacentral:rRNA from 1 species
GGUUCCAAGGGUUGGGCUGUUCGCCCAUUAAAGCGGUACGCGAGCUGGGUUCAGAACGUCGUGAGACAGUUCGGUCCCUAUCUGUCGUGGGCGUAGGAAGUUUGAGAAGAUCUGUCCUCAGUACGAGAGGACCGGGAUGGACAUAUCAAUGGUGCACCAGUUGUCACGCCAGUGGCACAGCUGGGUAGCUAAAUAUGGAAGGGAUAAACGCUGAAGGCAUCUAAGUGUGAAACCCACUUCAAGAUGAGACUUCCCAUUACGCAAGUAAGUAAGACCCCUUAAAGACGAUAAGGUUGAUAGGUCAGGAGUGUAAGCAUGGCGACAUGUUCAGCGGACUGAUACUAAUAGGUCGAGGACUUAACCUA